rnacentral:lncRNA from 1 species
GGCGCUGCGGCCGCGGAGCCGCCGCGGGAAGGGGCGUGCGCGGCGCGGCGGCUGCAGCCGGGAGGGACGGGGGUCCGGCGGCGGCUCCGGGCUGCCGGCUCCGUCCGUCCCUGUGUGUUUGGAGCGGAGGAAAGAUGGCAGCGGCUGCACUUCCUCUUGCACUUUCACCCCUGGGGGGAGGAGAAGGAGGGGGCGAUACCACCCCCCCUACAAAAAUCCAGCGGGGGCCCCCCGGCUGCUGCUCCCCGACCAAGCGCCGCCGCCGCCGGCCCCGGUCCGGGCCCCGCCCGCUUCGACGCACCCUCACCACCGGCGCCGCAAACUUUCCUCUCUUCUUUGGACGAGAAGACCCCCACCCUAUUCGCGGAGACCCCCCUCCAGCCACUCGGGCUCCCCCCCUGCCCCCCCGCUUCCUGCCCCCCUCCCUCCCCGCAUCCGCCAAUGCAAGAGCAGCCAGAGCCAGCAGGCCGGCCCCCACCCCGCCCGCCCGCGGGGGCUGGGGGCUGCAGUCUCCCCCUUCCCCAGCACCGAUCCUCCAAUGCCGAGCCGGCAGUGAGGCCCCCCCCCUGCGGCUCACGGGGGUGGUGGGGCUGCGCUCGCCCCCUCCCCCAAAUAUCCGGGCUGCAGCUCGCCCCCGAGACCCCCCCUCCCGCUGGAGAGAGGAGGAGGGGCCGGCGGGGGGGGCUGCAGGCAACCUUCCCCCCUCCCCAGGCGCGAAUCGUCCAAUGCAAACCCUCCCGGAGCUGCAGAGGCGCAGAGCGGCCCCCACCUCCUCGGCUCGCCUGAGGAGAGCCGAUCCCAGAGGGGCCAGGGGCUGCAGCGCAGACCGGCCUCCCCCCGGUCUUUCAUUGCAUUUCUCACCCCCACCCCCCGUACGCGAUCAACUCUCAGCCUCGCUAGAAGAGCGCGGCGCCGGCAUUGUGGGGGAGGGAAGGGGUACAGCGGGAAUUCUUCCAGUGCCAAAAUGCCCUCCCCCUGGGAGCGGCUGGGAGGAACGGUACCCGCGGGCCGGGGGCUGCGGGAGGCACGGGCACCUCAGAGCCUCGGGUGCGUCCAUGUUGGGGAAGCUGCUGCCCGCGGAGCCCCUCCCGCGCACCCGGGGUUCCCACGGCGCCCGGAGCGCCCCACGCCCCAGCGCGGCGAGGCUCCCGCUCCCUCAAGUUACCCUUCCCCGGGCCCAGGUUAAACGCUCCGAAAUGCACCGCCGAAUUCACUGCGCGGGGCUGCCUGGACUGUCCUAGUGCUGAAUCUUCCCUGUGUGCUCGAGGUCUCUCUAGGAAGAGCUUCUAUUUCAACAUCGUCGUUAUUCAUUUGCAUCUGAAAUCUGCUUUCUGUCUCAGAGAGGAAUUUUUCAUUUUUCUCUACUUUUGAAAAAACAUUCACCCCCC